CCCGGCGAUCUCCAUGACGAGGAGGGAGUAGUUCUCCCUCGGGGCUGAGGGUAUGUACUAGUAGCUAUGUGUUUGAUCUCUCUCUCGUGUUCUUGAGAUGUCUUGAUCUCGAUGUACUAUGGGCUUUGCUACUAUAGUUGGAUCUUAUGAUGUUCUUCCCCCUCUCCCUCUUGUAAUGAAUUGAGUUUCCCCUUUGGAGUUAUCUUAUCGGAUUGAGUCUUUGAGAACACUUUAUGUAUGUCUUGCACGUGUCUAUCU
rnacentral:lncRNA from 1 species